rnacentral:rRNA from 1 species
UACGUAGGGUGCGAGCGUUGUCCGGAAUCAUUGGGCGUAAAGAGCUCGCAGGCGGCUCGUUGCGUCGGCUGUGAAAACCCGCAGCUCAACUGUGGGCUUGCAGCCGAUACGGGCGGGCUGGAGUUCGGUAGGGGAGACUGGAAUUCCUGGUGUAGCGGUGAAAUGCGCAGAUAUCAGGAGGAACACCGGUGGCGAAAGCGGCUCUCUGGAACGGUACUGACGCUGAGACGCGAAAAGCGUGGGGAGCGAGCAGG